GUUGGGUAGGGGAGCGUUCUGUAAGCCUGCGAAGGUGACCUGUGAGGGUUGCUGGAGGUAUCAGAAGUGCGAAUGCUGACAUAAGUAACGAUAAAGCGGGUGAAAAGCCCGCUCGCCGGAAGACCAAGGGUUCCUGUCCAACGUUAAUCGGGGCAGGGUGAGUCGACCCCUAAGGCGAGGCCGAAAGGCGUAGUCGAUGGGAAACGGGUUAAUAUUCCCGUACUUGGUGUUACUGCGAAGGGGGGACGGAGAAGGCUAUGUUGGCCGGGCGACGGUUGUCCCGGUUUAAGCGUGUAGGUGUGUGUUCCAGGUAAAUCCGGUUCACUUUAACACUGAGGCGUGACGACGAGGCACUACGGUGCUGAAGCAACAAAUGCCCUGCUUCCAGGAAAAGCCUCUAAGCAUCAGGUAACAUCAAAUCGUACCCCAAACCGACACAGGUGGUCAGGUAGAGAAUACCAAGGCGCUUGAGAGAACUCGGGUGAAGGAACUAGGCAAAAUGGUGCCGUAACUUCGGGAGAAGGCACGCUGACACGUAGGUGAAGUGAUUUACUCAUGGAGCUGAAGUCAGUCGAAGAUACCAGCUGGCUGCAACUGUUUAUUAAAAACACAGCACUGUGCAAACACGAAAGUGGACGUAUACGGUGUGACGCCUGCCCGGUGCCGGAAGGUUAAUUGAUGGGGUCAGCGCAAGCGAAGCUCCUGAUCGAAGCCCCGGUAAACGGCGGCCGUAACUAUAACGGUCCUAAGGUAGCGAAAUUCCUUGUCGGGUAAGUUCCGACCUGCACGAAUGGCGUAAUGAUGGCCAGGCUGUCUCCACCCGAGACUCAGUGAAAUUGAACUCGCUGUGAAGAUGCAGUGUACCCGCGGCAAGACGGAAAGACCCCGUGAACCUUUACUAUAGCUUGACACUGAACAUUGAGCCUUGAUGUGUAGGAUAGGUGGGAGGCUUUGAAGUGUGGACGCCAGUCUGCAUGGAGCCGACCUUGAAAUACCACCCUUUAAUGUUUGAUGUUCUAACGUGGACCCGUUACCCGGGUUGCGGACAGUGUCUGGUGGGUAGUUUGACUGGGGCGGUCUCCUCCUAAAGAGUAACGGAGGAGCACGAAGGUUGGCUAAUCCUGGUCGGACAUCAGGAGGUUAGUGCAAUGGCAUAAGCCAGCUUGACUGCGAGCGUGACGGCGCGAGCAGGUGCGAAAGCAGGUCAUAGUGAUCCGGUGGUUCUGAAUGGAAGGGCCAUCGCUCAACGGAUAAAAGGUACUCCGGGGAUAACAGGCUGAUACCGCCCAAGAGUUCAUAUCGACGGCGGUGUUUGGCACCUCGAUGUCGGCUCAUCACAUCCUGGGGCUGAAGUAGGUCCCAAGGGUAUGGCUGUUCGCCAUUUAAAGUGGUACGCGAGCUGGGUUUAGAACGUCGUGAGACAGUUCGGUCCCUAUCUGCCGUGGGCGCUGGAGAACUGAGGGGGGCUGCUCCUAGUACGAGAGGACCGGAGUGGACGCAUCACUGGUGUUCGGGUUGUCAUGCCAAUGGCACUGCCCGGUAGCUAAAUGCGGAAGAGAUAAGUGCUGAAAGCAUCUAAGCACGAAACUUGCCCCGAGAUGAGUUCUCCCUGAGACUUAGAGUCUCCUGAAGGAACGUUGAAGACGACGACGUUGAUAGGCCGGGUGUGUAAGCGCAGCGAUGCGUUG
rnacentral:rRNA from 1 species